ACUCCUACGGGAGGCAGCAGUGGGGAAUAUUGGACAAUGGGCGCAAGCCUGAUCCAGCCAUGCCGCGUGAGUGAUGACGGCCUUAGGGUUGUAAAGCUCUUUCAGUGGUGAAGAUAAUGACGGUAACCACAGAAGAAGCCCCGGCUAACUCCGUGCCAGCAGCCGCGGUAAUACGGAGGGGGCUAGCGUUGUUCGGAAUUACUGGGCGUAAAGCGCGCGUAGGCGGAUCUUUAAGUCAGGGGUGAAAUCCUGGGGCUCAACCUCAGAACUGCCCUUGAUACUGAAGAUCUUGAGUCCGGAAGAGGUUAGUGGAAUUCCCAGUGUAGAGGUGAAAUUCGUAGAUAUUGGGAAGAACACCAGUGGCGAAGGCGGCUAACUGGUCCGGUACUGACGCUGAGGUGCGAAAGCGUGGGGAGCAACAGGAUUAGAUACCCUGGUAGCGAG
rnacentral:rRNA from 1 species